CCUACGGGAGGCAGCAGUGAGGAAUAUUGGUCAAUGGGCGUAAGCCUGAACCAGCCAAGUCGCGUGAGGGAUGAAGGUUCUAUGGAUCGUAAACCUCUUUUAUAAGGGAAUAAAGUGCGGGACGUGUCCCGUUUUGUAUGUACCUUAUGAAUAAGGAUCGGCUAACUCCGUGCCAGCAGCCGCGGUAAUACGGAGGAUCCGAGCGUUAUCCGGGUUUAUUGGGUUUAAAGGGUGAGUAGGCGGGCUUUUAAGUCAGCGGUGAAAGUCUGUGGCUCAACCAUAGAAUUGCCGUUGAAACUGGGAGUCUUGAGUAUGUUUGAGGCAGGCGGAAUGCGUGGUGUAGCGGUGAAAUGCUUAGAUAUCACGCAGAACCCCGAUUGCGAAGGCAGCCUGCCAAGCCAUGACUGACGCUGAUGCACGAAAGCGUGGGGAUCGAACAGGAUUAGAUACCCGGGUAGUC
rnacentral:rRNA from 1 species